UACAGAGGUCCCGAGCGUUGUUCGGAUUCAUUGGGCGUAAAGGGUGCGUAGGCGGCGGGGCAAGUCUGAUGUGAAAUCCCGGGGCUCAACCCCGGAACUGCAUUGGAUACUGCCUUGCUAGAGUACUGGAGAGGGAACUGGAAUUUACGGUGUAGCAGUGAAAUGCGUAGAGAUCGUAAGGAAGGCCAGUGGCGAAGGCGAGUUCCUGGACAGUAACUGACGCUGAGGAACGAAGGCCAGGGGAGCAAACGGG
rnacentral:rRNA from 1 species